ACACUGCUGAGGAGUCCCAUACUAGGACGAAACGGCCUUCCAGUGC
rfam:Schistosoma haematobium scaffold53_12, whole genome shotgun sequence.